GAUGAACGCUGGCGGCGUGCCUAAUACAUGCAAGUCGAGCGAACGGACGAGAAGCUUGCUUCUCUGAUGUUAGCGGCGGACGGGUGAGUAACACGUGGAUAACCUACCUAUAAGACUGGGAUAACUUCGGGAAACCGGAGCUAAUACCGGAUAAUAUUUUGAACCGCAUGGUUCAAAAGUGAAAGACGGUCUUGCUGUCACUUAUAGGUGGAUCCGCGCUGCAUUAGCUAGUUGGUAAGGUAACGGCUUACCAAGGCAACGAUGCAUAGCCGACCUGAGAGGGUGAUCGGCCACACUGGAACUGAGACACGGUCCAGACUCCUACGGGAGGCAGCAGUAGGGAAUCUUCCGCAAUGGGCGAAAGCCUGACGGAGCAACGCCGCGUGAGUGAUGAAGGUCUUCGGAUCGUAAAAUUCUGUUAUUAGGGAAGAACAUAUGUGUAAGUAACUGUGCACAUCUUGACGGUACCUAAUCAGAAAGCCACGGCUAACUACGUGCCAGCAGCCGCGGUAAUACGUAGGUGGCAAGCGUUAUCCGGAAUUAUUGGGCGUAAAGCGCGCGUAGGCGGUUUUUUAAGUCUGAUGUGAAAGCCCACGGCUCAACCGUGGAGGGUCAUUGGAAACUGGAAAACUUGAGUGCAGAAGAGGAAAGUGGAAUUCCAUGUGUAGCGGUGAAAUGCGCAGAGAUAUGGAGGAACACCAGUGGCGAAGGCGACUUUCUGGUCUGUAACUGACGCUGAUGUGCGAAAGCGUGGGGAUCAAACAGGAUUAGAUACCCUGGUAGUCCACGCCGUAAACGAUGAGUGCUAAGUGUUAGGGGGUUUCCGCCCCUUAGUGCUGCAGCUAACGCAUUAAGCACUCCGCCUGGGGAGUACGACCGCAAGGUUGAAACUCAAAGGAAUUGACGGGGACCCGCACAAGCGGUGGAGCAUGUGGUUUAAUUCGAAGCAACGCGAAGAACCUUACCAAAUCUUGACAUCCUUUGACAACUCUAGAGAUAGAGCUUUUCCCUUCGGGGGACAAAGUGACAGGUGGUGCAUGGUUGUCGUCAGCUCGUGUCGUGAGAUGUUGGGUUAAGUCCCGCAACGAGCGCAACCCUUAAGCUUAGUUGCCAUCAUUAAGUUGGGCACUCUAAGUUGACUGCCGGUGACAAACCGGAGGAAGGUGGGGAUGACGUCAAAUCAUCAUGCCCCUUAUGAUUUGGGCUACACACGUGCUACAAUGGACAAUACAAAGGGCAGCGAAACCGCGAGGUCAAGCAAAUCCCAUAAAGUUGUUCUCAGUUCGGAUUGUAGUCUGCAACUCGACUACAUGAAGCUGGAAUCGCUAGUAAUCGUAGAUCAGCAUGCUACGGUGAAUACGUUCCCGGGUCU
rnacentral:rRNA from 1 species